GUCUGCUUACACAUGCAAGUCGAACGGAGUAGAAAUACUUAGUGGCGGACGGGUGAGUAACGCGUGAGAAUCUACCUUCAGGACGGAGACAACAGUUGGAAACAACUGCUAACCCCCGAUGUACCGAAAGGGCAAAUAUUUAUAGCCUGAAGAAGAGCUCGCGUCCGAUUAGCUAGUUGGAGGGGUAAAAGCCCACCAAGGCGACGAUCGGUAGCUGGUCUGAGAGGACGAUCAGCCACACUGGGACUGAGACACGGCCCAGACUGCUACGGGAGGCAGCAGUGGGGAAUUUUCCGCAAUGGGCGAAAGCCUGACGGAGCAAGACCGCGUGGGGGAAGAAGGCUCUUGGGUUGUAAACCCCUUUUCUCUGGGAAGAACACAAUGACGGUACCAGAGGAAUCAGCAUCGGCUAACUCCGUGCCAGCAGCCGCGGUAAGACGGAGGAUGCAAGCGUUAUCCGGAAUGAUUGGGCGUAAAGCGUCCGCAGGUGGCAGUUCAAGUCUGCUGUCAAAGACCGGGGCUUAACCUCGGAAAGGCAGUGGAAACUGAACAGCUAGAGUAUGGUAGGGGCAAAGGGAAUUCCUGGUGUAGCGGUGAAAUGCGUAGAGAUCAGGAAGAACAUCGG
rnacentral:rRNA from 1 species